rnacentral:rRNA from 1 species
GAUGAACGCUGGCGGCGUGCUUAACACAUGCAAGUCGAACGAAGAUGCUUAUCGGAAACCUUCGGGUGGAAGAUAAGUAGACUGAGUGGCGGACGGGUGAGUAACGCGUGGGUAACCUGCCCUACACAGGGGGAUAACAGUUAGAAAUAAUUGCUAAUACCGCAUAAGCACACGUGGUCGCAUGACCAAGUGUGAAAAGAUUUAUCGGUGUAGGAUGGACCCGCGUCUGAUUAGCUAGUUGGUAAGGUAACGGCUUACCAAGGCGACGAUCAGUAGCCGGCUUUAGCGAGUGAACGGCCACAUUGGGACUGAGACACGGCCCAAACUCCUACGGGAGGCAGCAGUGGGGAAUAUUGCACAAUGGGGGAAACCCUGAUGCAGCGACGCCGCGUGAGUGAAGAAGUAUUUCGGUAUGUAAAGCUCUAUCAGCAGGGAAGAAAAUGACGGUACCUGACUAAGAAGCCCCGGCUAACUACGUGCCAGCAGCCGCGGUAAUACGUAGGGGGCAAGCGUUAUCCGGAAUUACUGGGUGUAAAGGGAGCGUAGGCGGCAGAGCAAGUCAGAAGUGAAAACCCAGGGCUCAACUUUGGGAUUGCUUUUGAA